rnacentral:rRNA from 1 species
AGAGUUUGAUCAUGGCUCAGAUUGAACGCUGGCGGCGUGCCUAACACAUGCAAGUCGAGCGGUAACAGGUGUAGCAAUACAUGCCGACGAGCGGCGAACGGGUGAGUAAUGCUUCGGAAUCUGCCCAAUGGUGGGGAAUAACCAGCCGAAAGGUUGGCUAAUACCGCAUAAGUCCUACGGGAGAAAGCAGGGGAUCGUAAGACCUUGCGCCGAUGGAUGAGCCGAAGUCGGAUUAGCUAGUUGGUAGGGUAACGGCCUACCAAGGCGACGAUCCGUAGCUGGUCUGAGAGGACGACCAGCCACACUGGGACUGAGACACGGCCCAGACUCCUACGGGAGGCAGCAGUGGGGAAUAUUGGACAAUGGGGGAAACCCUGAUCCAGCGACGCCGCGUGUGUGAAGAAGGCCUGCGGGUUGUAAAGCACUUUUAGUGGGGAUGAAAAGCUCAGGGAUAACACCUCUGGGUCUUGACCUAACCCACAGAAAAAGCACCGGCUAACUCUGUGCCAGCAGCCGCGGUAAUACAGAGGGUGCAAGCGUUAAUCGGAAUUACUGGGCGUAAAGCGUGCGUAGACGGUUAUGUAAGUCGGGUGUGAAAGCCCCGGGCUCAACCUGGGAAUGCCAUUCGAGACUGCAUAGCUAGGGUGCGGAAGAGGGAAGCGGAAUUUCCGGUGUAGCGGUGAAAUGCGUAGAUAUCGGAAGGAACACCAGUGGCGAAAGCGGCUUCCUGGUCCAGCACCGACGUUCAGGCACGAAAGCGUGGGGAGCAAACAGGAUUAGAUACCCUAGUAGUCC